CCUACGGGUGGCAGUAGUAGGGAAUCUUCCACAAUGGGCGCAAGCCUGAUGGAGCAACACCGCGUGAGUGAAGAAGGCUUUCGGCUCGUAAAGCUCUGUUGUUGGAGAAGAACGUUCCUGAGAGUAACCGUUCCCGCAGUGACGGUAUCCAACCAGAAAGUCACGGCUAACUACGUGCCAGCAGCCGCGGUAAUACGUAGGUGGCAAGCGUUAGCCGGAUUUAUUGGGCGUAAAGCGAGCGCAGGCGGUCGCUUAGGUCUGAUGUGAAAGCCUUCGGCUUAACCGAAGAAGUGCAUCGGAAACCGGGCGACUUGAGUGCAGAAGAGGACGGUGGAACUCGAGGUGUAGCGGUGGAAUGCGUAGAUAUAUGGAAGAACACCAGUGGCGAAGGCAGCUGGCUGGUCUGCAACUGACGCUGAGGCUCGAAAGCAUGGGUAGCGAACAGGAUUAGAUACCCCUGUAGUC
rnacentral:rRNA from 1 species